GUGCUGCCUUUGGCAGCAUGUAUAUUAAAACUGGAACAAUACAGAAAAAAUUAGCAUGGCCCCUGUGCAAAGAUGACAAAAAUACAGAUAAUAAACCAUAAAUUAGA